rnacentral:rRNA from 1 species
AUAUGCGAUCAUAUCAGCAUUAAUGCACCGUAUCCCAUCAGAACUCUAAAGUUAAGCGUUCUUGGGCGAGAGUAGUACUAGGAUGGGUGACCUCCCGGAAUGUCCACGUGUUGCAUCCC